rnacentral:lncRNA from 1 species
AGAUAAUUAGCCAUUCAAUAUAUAUGUAUGUUUUGUUAGUUCUAUUAUUAAAUUAGUAAUAAAAAAAUAUGCUAACAAUUUAAUAGAAAAGGAAAAUAAUAAUAUUUUCUAUAGCCUUUGUUGCUUAAUGCUAGGUUGACAAAUUAGAUGAAAGAGAGUAAAUACUGUGUGAAGAUAGAACGAGAGGGAGAGCCUUCUACCAUUCAAUAGCAAAAAGCGCCUUCUACCAUUCAAGAGGAAAAAGAUAGAUGAAAUGACAAAUUGAACAGAGAUUGACGUUUUUCUCACUCUUUUCCUUCUUUCCAAUAAGUUUGGACGUAAGCUUUUAAAAAAAUUUUAAGUUUCGAUCAUUUUAGACCAAAAAAGAAGCUAGCCGUGUCCCCCCCGUAUUCCCCCGUAUCCCUCACGUAUCCGAGCCGUAUCCGAGCCGUAUCCGAUAUUUUUUAAUUUUUUAAAAUUGCCGGAUACUUCAUUCCCGUAUCGGACACGUAUCGGGCGUGUAUCGGUAUCCGAUACGUAUCCGAUACGGGUACGGC